AGCUUGUGGCAAUGGCCGAAUAGUGUUGGCCCCCUUGAAAUGGUGGCUUUCUUGAAGAAGUGGUAGUUGUUACAGAAGGGCUAUUUUUACCUUCAUGAUUAUCUUCUGCAUCUGGAAUGUGCCAGAAUUUAUAACCAGACAUACUCACAUCAUUGGCUGGAAGCCUUAGGAGACCUCAGCUGAGCACAAAGAUGCAACGCCAAGUAAGAAAAUCUAGUCCUUGAGUGUGACAGGACCAUUAGCUUGCAAGAAAAUGCAAUUGUGAACUGCUGACUGGUUAAAGAUGAAGAGGAGGGAACAAAAGAUAUGGAGAAGGUAAUAGUUCCCGGU